GCUUCCAGGUUGAAGUCCUGCCUUGAUCCUACAGGGGGAGGUGUUACUCUGCAGGGACUGGACCCCGAGCCUGUAAUGAAGAGAAGACCAGAGUUGCAGGAAAGGGCAGCUGAGGUAAUGAGAAGAGCUCAUUCCUCAUUUUCAAGUGAUGCGCCUCAUCUCAUUAUCGUCAGUCAGGUGAAAUUGCCCUUCAUAUGAGGGAUUGUACCUACAUCUGAUGGUGUUAUUAUACUGCUGUUUCCCCUUGCUUUUAAACCACUUUAGUGUAAAGUAAUUGCUAUUACCGUACUGUAUUCAAUUUCAAGUGGCAUUUCUCAAGACCCACAUCUAUACAAAGCUUUAAUCUUGAUGUAUAGUUGAUAACUGGUAGCCUUCUCUCAUACAGUAUAUAAUCUUUCAAUCACAAUGCACAGUAAGGUUAAAGAUACAGUACAUAUAAUAUUUCAAUUGCACAGCUAGCACUUGCUGUUAACAUA